GUGACAUAAUGCAACCAAAUAUCAGACUGGGUGCCGGGAUACCAAUGAAGGACUUAAAGAAAGGCCUGAAGGAACCAAAGGGAUUUGCAACCUCAUAGGAAGAACAACAAUAUCAACCAUCCAGACCUCUCAAAGCUCCCAGGUACAAAGUCACCAACCAAAGAGUCCACAUAGGGGGACGAAUGGCUUCAGCUGGAUAUGUAGCAGAGGAUUGCUUUAUUGGGCAUCACUGGGAGGGGUGUCCCUUGGUACAGUGGAGGAUCAAUGACCCAGGGUUAGUGAAGGCUAGGGCACUGAGGCAGGAAUGGGUCGGUGGGAGGGAGAGCACCCUCAUAAAGGUGGGGGAGGGGGAGUGGAAGGGAUUAUGGAAGGAAAACAUAGAAAGGGAAUACCAUUUGAAAUGUAAUAAAUAAACUAACCAAUAAAAAAGAAAUACAGGCCGGGCAGUGGUGGCGCACUCCUUUAAUCCCAGCACUUGGGAGGCAGAGGCAGGUGGAUUUCUGAGUUCAAGGACACCCUGGUCUACAGAGUGAGUUCCCGGACAGCCAGGGCUAUACAGAGAAACCCUGUCUAGAAACAAACAAAAAAAGAAAUACAAUCAGAAAAGGGAAAAAGAGUUAUGUGAUGUAAGUGGUAGAAGAAAUCUCAUGGUGCAGAAUCUGCACUGCACUCUUUCUAACUCCAUGAUAUUUCAGGUUUCACCCAUAGCCAGGAUCACAGGAUGCUGUUUUGUUUUGUUUUGUUUUGUUUUUCCUUAAAGCCACAUACCAGCAAAAUAAUUUCCUCCAUAUGAGACCACUUCCAGAGCUUUCGCAACCCCUGUGAAAGGAUUACUGGAACUCCACACUGAGAGCCACUGUUCUACAUUGUUUUCAUUUACUGGCAAGCUCAUCAGCUCUGUUCAAAUCUUCCCAUGAGUUCAUAUUUUGCUGCUACACUACUACUACUACUACUACUACUACUACUACUACUACUACUACUACUGUUGUUGUUGUUGUUUCUGCUACUUGUAGCUUAAGGACAUCAAAACCCAGUGCCUUCAGCCUUCCAGUGUCAAUGUCCAGGAAUCUUCCAGCCCUUCAGUCCUAGACUUGGGCAGCUGAGGUAUCCAACUUCACAGAUUGAACAACUAUUAGUUGUCAGCCUUUCUAGUCUGAAUACAGAUAUUUUUUUCUGCUACAACACCAUAGCAUUGGUAGCCAAGUUAAUACAUAUACUUUUAA
rnacentral:lncRNA from 1 species